AAUGAACGUUGGCGGCGUGGAUUAGGCAUGCAAGUCGAGCGGAAAGGCCCGCAAGGGCACUCGAGCGGCGUAAGGGACAGUAAUGUGUAGGUAACGUACCCCUGGGUCUAGGAUAGCUGCGGGAAACUGCAAUUAAUACUAGAUAACGUCUCCGGACCAAAGGUGUGAUUCCACCUGGGGAGCGGCCUACAUCCUAUUAGCUAGUUGGCGAGGUAAUGGCUCACCAAGGCGAAGAUGGGUAGCAGGUGUGAGAGCACGACCUGCGUCACUGGGACUGAGACACUGCCCAGACACCUACGGGUGGCUGCAGUCGAGAAUCUUCGGCAAUGGGCGAAAGCCUGACCGAGCGACGCCGCGUGUGGGAUGAAGGCCUCGGGUGUAACCACUGUCGAGGGGAGUGAAGUGUUAGUGGGUUCUCCCGAUUAACUUGACUGAUCCUCGGAGGAA
rnacentral:rRNA from 1 species